rnacentral:rRNA from 1 species
GCCUAACACAUGCAAGUCGAGCGCUGAUUACGAGGUAGCAAUAUUUCGUAGUUGGAGCGGCGCAAGGGUGAGUAAUACAUCGGAACGUGUCCUGUCGUGGGGGAUAACCAGUCGAAAGACUGGCUAAUACCGCAUGAGAUCGAAAGAUGAAAGCGGGGGACCGCAAGGCCUCGCGCGAUUGGAGCGGCCGAUGUCGGAUUAGCUAGUUGGCGGGGUAAAAGCCCACCAAGGCUACGAUCCGUAGCUGGUUUGAGAGAACGACCAGCCACACUGGGACUGAGACACGGCCCAGACUCCUACGGGAGGCAGCAGUGGGGAAUUUUGGACAAUGGGGGCAACCCUGAUCCAGCCAUGCCGCGUGUGUGAAGAAGGCCUUCGGGUUGUAAAGCACUUUCGGCCGGAACGAAAUCGUCUUCGUUAAUAGCGGGGAUGGAUGACGGUACCGGAAGAAGAAGCACCGGCUAACUACGUGCCAGCAGCCGCGGUAAU